rnacentral:tRNA from 1 species
AGAAUAGUAGUUAAUUAUAAUAACUGUAUUGCAUACAGUAGGUGCUUAUUUAAGCCUAUUUUA